rnacentral:tRNA from 1 species
GCCGGAGUGGCGGAAUGGCAGACGCAUCAGACUCAAAAUCUGACGAUAGCAAUAUCGUGUGGGUUCAAGUCCCACCUCCGGCACCA